UACGUAGGGGGCAAGCGUUGUCCGGAUUUAUUGGGCGUAAAGAGCGCGUAGGCGGUUUGGUAGGUCCGUUGUGAAAACUCGAGGCUCAACCUCGAGACGCCGAUGGAAACCAUCAGACUAGAGUCCGGAAGAGGAGAGUGGAAUUCCUGGUGUAGCGGUGAAAUGCGCAGAUAUCAGGAAGAACACCCGUGGCGAAGGCGGCUCUCUAGUACGGUACUGACGCUGAGACGCGAAAGCGUGGGGAGCGAACAGG
rnacentral:rRNA from 1 species